rnacentral:rRNA from 1 species
AACAGGAUUUAGAUACCUGGUAGUCCACGCCGUAAACGAUGAGUGCUAAGUGUUAGGGGGUUUCCGCCCCUUAGUGCUGCAGUAACGCAUUAAGCACUCCGCCUGGGGAGUACGGCCGCAAGGCUGAAACUCAAAGGAAUUGACGGGGGCCCGCACAAGCGGUGGAGCAUGUGGUUUAAUUCGAAGCAACGCGAAGAACCUUACCAGGUCUUGACAUCCCGCUGACCGCCUAGGAGACUAGGCUUUCCCUUCGGGGACAGCGGUGACAGGUGGUGCAUGGUUGUCGUCAGCUCGUGUCGUGAGAUGUUGGGUUAAGUCCCGCAACGAGCGCAACCCUUGAUUUAGUUGCCAGCAUUCAGUUGGGCACUCUAAGGUGACUGCCGGUGACAAACCGGAGGAAGGUGGGGAUGACGUCAAAUCAUCAUGCCCCUUAUGACCUGGGCUACACACGUGCUCAAUGGACGGUACAAAGGGCUGCAAACCCGCGAGGGGGAGCCAAUCCCAGAAAACCGUUCUCAGUUCGGAUUGCAGGCUGCAACUCGCCUGCAUGAAGCCGGAAUCGCUAGUAAUCGUGGAUCACAUGCCACGGUGAAUACGUUCCCGGGCCUUGUACACACCGCCGUCACACCACGAGAGUUUGUAACACCCGAAGUCGGUGAGGUAACCAC